GACGAACGCUGGCGGCGUGCCUAAUACAUGCAAGUUGAGCGCUGAAGGUUGGUACUUGUAACAACUGGAUGAGCAGCGAACGGGUGAGUAACGCGUGGGGAAUCUGCCUUUGAGCGGGGGACAACAUUUGGAAACGAAUGCUAAUACCGCAUAAAAACUUUAAACACAAGUUUUAAGUUUGAAAGAUGCAAUUGCAUCACUCAAAGAUGAUCCCGCGUUGUAUUAGCUAGUUGGUGAGGUAAAGGCUCACCAAGGCGAUGAUACAUAGCCGACCUGAGAGGGUGAUCGGCCACAUUGGGACUGAGACACGGCCCAAACUCCUACGGGAGGCAGCAGUAGGGAAUCUUCGGCAAUGGACGAAAGUCUGACCGAGCAACGCCGCGUGAGUGAAGAAGGUUUUCGGAUCGUAAAACUCUGUUGGUAGAGAAGAACGUUGGUGAGAGUGGAAAGCUCAUCAAGUGACGGUAACUACCCAGAAAGGGACGGCUAACUACGUG
rnacentral:rRNA from 1 species